UCGCCGCCGCGUCACGUCGGCCAUUUCCAGUUUGACUGUCAGCGAAGUUGCAUGGUGUUGUGUUUUGUAAAUUGUAAAUCUCAAUUAUUUAAAAGUGUCCUGUAAUGGAGGAAAUAUACUUACUGCCCUGUAACUGACGUAAUGGCAAAGUUGCAAAAUCCAGUAACCUAUACCAUGGCCUUGGUCUGGCGUUCCCAUGUCACGUGGGCCAAAAAGAAGCAUCGUUAUUGGUAGGCAGGGCAGUGAGGCUAAAGGAAAGGAAACCAGUGCUGUUGCUAAGCGGCGAUCCCGUCCCGACCGUCUUUUAUUGCCUCGUCAGCUCUCGUCAAGACUGAUGUGUUAUUACUUCGGGUAACUGAUUGAAGGUAUAAAACUUGUAAGUUUUACAGUUUAAGAGUGUCCUACUAUUGUUUAAGUGCUUCAAGUUUUGAGUUGUUUAGUUUCAAUGAAGCACACUCACAGAUAAGUAAUUUUAUAUAAUUUUAUUUUUA